UGGGAAAACUUGGAAAUUAAAUUUAUGAGAUUAAAAUGUAUUUCUGAUCAACUGAGAGUUAAUGAUAAGACAUUUUGUUUUGGUUCAUGUUGAUUUAAAAAUAUUUUUCCUGCCUUUUUUCUCAGCAUAGCUCACCAUCAACCUUUUAUUAGUUGUGGAAAAGUUCUUACAGUGAUUUGUGGAUUUGAGGUUGUGGUUGACAUGCUAAAUAUACAUUUUUCAUCAUACAUCUUGGUCCAUGAGAAUGAAGGAAAGUUAAAUAAAGACAUACUAAUCCCAGAAUAUACCAUGGAUUUUUUUUAAAUCUCUUAUAUCAACAUAUUCCGUUGUAAUUCCUCUUUAUCCUAAAAGUAGAUUGCAAAUAUUUCCAAAUCCGUAACAGCAUCACUCUACCAUUGCCAAUUACACCUUUUCAUAAAAAUGUGUCCAACAGACUUGAGCCUGGAGCAGAGUACAUACGUUCAUUCUCUACCCAUGCCUAAGCAGCAGCAGCUGUGAGCUCAGACUCCUGGCAA
rnacentral:lncRNA from 1 species